CACGUGGGGAACCUACCCAUAAGAGGGGGAUAACAUCCGGAAACGGGUGCUAAUACCGCAUAGGUGAUCAUAGCGCAUGCUUAGAUCAUUAAAGAUGGCUUCGGCUAUCGCUUAUGGAUGGCCCCGCGGCGUAUUAGCUAGUUGGUGAGGUAAUGGCUCACCAAGGCGAUGAUACGUAGCCGACCUGAGAGGGUGAUCGGCCACACUGGGACUGAGACACGGCCCAGACUCCUACGGGAGGCAGCAGUAGGGAAUCUUCCACAAUGGGCGAAAGCCUGAUGGAGCAAUACCGCGUGAGUGAAGAAGGUCUUCGGAUCGUAAAGCUCUGUUGUUAGAGAAGAACACGCAGAACAGUAACUGGUUCUGCGCUGACGGUAUCUAACCAGAAAGUCACGGCUAACUACGUGCCAGCAGCCGCGGUAAUACGUAGGUGACAAGCGUUGUCCGGAUUUAUUGGGCGUAAAGCGAGCGCAGGCGGUCUUUUAAGUCUGAUGUGAAAGCCCACGGCUCAACCGUGGAUGGUCAUUGGAAACUGGAAGACUUG
rnacentral:rRNA from 1 species